rnacentral:rRNA from 1 species
UACAGAGGCUGCAAGCGUUAUUCGGAUUCACUGGGCGUAAAGGGUGCGCAGGCGGCCGUGUGUGUGAGGCGUGAAAGCCCGGGGCUUAACCCCGGAAUUGCACCUCAAACCACACGGCUAGAGCAUUGGAGAGGGUAGCAGAAUUCACGGUGUAGCAGUGAAAUGCGUAGAUAUCGUGAGGAAUACCAGAGGCGAAGGCGGCUACCUGGACAAUUGCUGACGCUCAGGCACGAAAGCGUGGGGAGCAAAAGGG